GCCUGGGUGGCUCAGUCGGUAAAGCGUCCGACUUCAGCUCAGGUCAUGAUCUCACGGUCCGUGGGUUCAAGCCCUACAUCGGGCU
rfam:Felis catus isolate Cinnamon breed Abyssinian chromosome C2, whole genome shotgun sequence.